rnacentral:rRNA from 1 species
UACGGGGGGGGCAAGCGUUGUUCGGAAUUACUGGGCGUAAAGGGCUCGUAGGCGGCCAACUAAGUCAGACGUGAAAUCCCUCGGCUUAACCUGGGAACGGCAUCCGAUACUGGAGGGCUUGAAUUCGGGAGAGGGAUGCAGAAUUCCAGGUGUAGCGGUGAAAUGCGUAGAUAUCUGGAGGAAUACCGGUGGCGAAGGCGGCAUCCUGGACCGAGAUUGACGCUGAGGAGCGAAAGCUAGGGGAGCAAACGGG